rnacentral:rRNA from 1 species
GACGAACCGCCCAAACGUUAUUCGGAAUUACUGGGCUUAAAGGGUGCGUAGGCGGCCCAGCAAGACAGGUGUGAAAUCCCACGGCUAAACCGUGGAACUGCGCUUGAAACUGCUGGGCUUGAGGGAGAUAGAGGUAAGCGGAACUGAUGGUGGAGCGGUGAAAUGCAUUGAUAUCAUCAGGAACACCGGUGGCGAAGGCGGCUUACUGGGUCUCUUCUGACGCUGAGGCACGAAAGCUAGGGGAGCGAACGGGAUUAGAUACCCCUGUAGUCCCU